rnacentral:rRNA from 1 species
UACAGAGGUGGCAAGCGUUGUUCGGAAUUACUGGGCGUAAAGGGCGCGUAGGCGGCCUACUAAGUCAGACGUGAAAUCCCCAGGCUUAACUUGGGAACUGCGUCUGAUACUGGAAGGCUUGAGUGCGGGAGAGGGAUGUGGAAUUCCAGGUGUAGCGGUGAAAUGCGUAGAUAUCUGGAGGAACACCGGUGGCGAAGGCGGCAUCCUGGACCAACACUGACGCUGAGUGAGCGAAAGCCAGGGGAGCAAACGGG